rnacentral:SRP_RNA from 1 species
UAGAUGGGGAGAUAGCGGUGCCCUAUUCUCGCAAUCCGCUUCAGCGAGGUCGAAUGCCUAUUGCGGUGGUAUUGGUUGUGUGUUGAGUAAGAUGCUUAUGUGUUGAAGUUAGGGUCUUGUGCAAUAUUGAGCUAUGAAACAUGUCAGGGACGGGAGUCAGCAGCAUUAAAUGGAUUUCAAUAUGUGAUACAAGGUCGCUCUAAUGGAGCAUAAACCUCUUAUGCC